rnacentral:rRNA from 1 species
UGAGGAAUCUUCCACAAUGGGCGAAAGCCUGAUGGAGCGACGCCGCGUGCAGGAUGAAGGCCUUCGGGUUGUAAACUGCUUUUAAAAGUGAAGAAUAUGACGGUAGCUUUUGAAUAAGCACCGGCUAACUACGUGCCAGCAGCCGCGGUCAUACGUAGGGUGCAAGCAUUAUCCGGAGUGACUGGGCGUAAAGAGUUGCGUAGGUGGUUUGUUAAGUGAAUAGUGAAAUCUGGUGGCUCAACCAUACAGACUAUUAUUCAAACUGGCAAACUCGAGAUGAGGAGAGGUAACUGGAAUUUCUAGUGUAGGAGUGAAAUCCGUAGAUAUUAGAAGGAACACCAAUGGCGUAGGCAGGUUACUGGCCUCAUUCUGACACUAAGGCACGAAAGCGUGGGGAGCGAACCGG